AGCUGGUUCUCCCCGAAAGCUAUUUAGGUAGCGCCUCGGACGAAUACUACUGGGGGUAGAGCACUGUUUGGGCUAGGGGGUCAUCCCGACUUACCAACCCCAUGCAAACUCCGAAUACCAGUAAGUAAUAUCCGGGAGACACACGGCGGGUGCUAACGUCCGUCGUGAAGAGGGAAACAACCCAGACCGCCGGCUAAGGUCCCAAAGUUCUGGUUAAGUGGGAAACGAUGUGGGAAGGCUCAGACAGCUAGGAUGUUGGCUUAGAAGCAGCCAUCAUUUAAAGAAAGCGUAAUAGCUCACUAGUCGAGUCGGCCUGCGCGGAAGAUGUAACGGGGCUCAAACCAGGCACCGAAGCCGCGGAUUCACGCUAAGCGUGAGUGGUAGGGGAGCGUUCUGUAAGUCUGCGAAGGUGUGUCGAGAGGCAUGCUGGAGAUAUCAGAAGUGCGAAUGCUGACGUAAGUAACGAUAAAGGGGGUGAAAAGCCUCCUCGCCGGAAGACCAAGGGUUCCUGUCCAACGUUAAUCGGGGCAGGGUGAGUCGACCCCUAAGGUGAGGCCGAAAGGCGUAAUCGAUGGGAAGCAGGUUAAUAUUCCUGCACGACUUGUAAUUGCGAUGGGGGGACGGAGAAGGCUAGGUGGGCCAGGCGACGGUUGUCCUGGUGAAAGUGCGUAGGUGGUGUUUCUAGGCAAAUCCGG
rnacentral:rRNA from 1 species